AGGAAUAAGGUCAAAAGAGACCUUCUUCCUCUCAAAGUUCUGUUGUUGUUGAUUAUUGUUGGUGUUGGUGUUGUAGUUGUUUGUUCUUUAUUAUGGAUGUUGUUAACGUUGUUGUUGAACUAGUAUUGAUUGAUUAUUCGAAAAUACUGGAAUAACGGAUGAUACUUGAUGAUGAUGCUGACGUGGUUGCAGAUUUCUUCUGACAUGAGGCCUCCUCUGCCUCCCUGCUGACACUGCAUUGGUU
rnacentral:lncRNA from 1 species